AGCUGAGUACUUGGAGGAGGGAGGCAGGAGAGCUAGAAGAGCAGAAGCCAAGGCAUCUCAAAGAAAGAAAACUUCAGUGCAGAAAACACGAUUACCUACAGAAGACUUGGAGGCAUUACAGAUUCCCUAAGCAUGGAGAGAAAACUUUUGUCCUUGCCUCCAUCCAUCUUCACAUCAGAAAUGGAACCCAAUGGCAACUUCAGCAAUAACAAUAGCCAUAGGAACUGCACAAUUGAAAACUUCAAGAGGGAUUUUUAUCCUAUUGUAUACCUGAUAAUAUUUGUCUGCGGAGCCUUGGGAAAUGGCUUUUCCAUAUUUGUUUUUCUGCAGCCUCAUAAGAAGUCCACAUCUGUGAAUGUUUUCAUGCUAAACCUGGCCAUUUCGGAUCUCUUAUUCACAACCACACUGCCCUUCAGGGCUGACUAUUACCUGAGAGGCUCCAAUUGGAUAUUUGGGGAUGUGGCCUGCAGGAUUAUGUCUUAUUCCAUAUAUGUCAACAUGUACAGCAGUAUUUAUUUCCUGACUGUGCUGAGCGUUAUACGCUUUCUGGCAACUGUUCACCCUUUCCGGCUCCUCCAUGUCACCAGCAUUAGAAGUGCCUGGAUUCUGUGUGGGAUCAUAUGGAUCUUUAUCAUGGCUUCCUCAAUAACGCUUCUGAACAAUGGCUCUGAGCAAGAGGGUAAUGUCACAACAUGCUUAGAGCUGAAAUUCAAUAAACUUGUUAAACUGAAGACCAUGAACCACAUCGCCUUGGUGAUAGGCUUCCUGCUGCCAUUCUGUACGCUCAACAUCUGUUACCUGCUGAUCAUUCGCACGCUGUUAAAGGUGGAGGUCCCAGAAUUGGGGCUGCGGGUUGCUCACAAGAAGGCACUGACUACUAUCAUCAUUACCUUGAUCAUCUUCCUCCUGUGUUUCCUGCCCUAUCACAUACUGAGGACCUUCCACCUGGUCGUGUGGAAAGCGGGUAUAUGCAGAGACUGGCUGCAUAAGGCCGUGAUCAUCACAUUGGCCUUGGCAGCAUCUAACACCUGCCUCAACCCUUUGCUUUAUUACUUUACUGGGGAGAAUUUUAAGGACAGACUAAGGUCUGCAUUCAGAAAAGUUCAUCCACAGAAGACAAAGUGCAGCUUUCCUGCCUGUGUGUGAUUGAAAAAGGAAACAAGAAUGUAAGGGAUUAUUAGGUGAGGCCUGUUCUUGUCUUCUUGUGUCUACGGUCAUUCACACAUAGUCUCCAAAAGACCAUGUAUUUACACCAUUCCCAAAAAAGGUCUAGUCCCAACAUUUACUUGACCAUGACAUUUUGCUAAUAAGGUCUACUUCAAAAAUUUCAUUGGAUGUAUUUUCAAUGAUUAAGUCUAAAUGAGGAACAUAGCAGGAAAAUUCCAUACUAGAUAGAGUCUUGCAACCUGAAGCAUCAGGCGGGAAAAAUGCUGAGCAGAAUGGGUGCUACUUUUCAUCAGAUUCUGUAUCAGAUCUCUGGCCCAAUAAGCAUUCUAAAUUCUUAACUUUAAGAUAACCCCAACUUCCCCAGCUUCUUCAGUUCCUCUUCAAUCCCCUGAGCUAUAGCCAAUUAGCAAAGCUGCUGGAGGCCCCAGAUCAAAUAAGAAAAGCAUUCUAAGAACUCAGGGAAAAGACCUUGAUGAUAAAGAGAAAGGCUGUCCUCUAACAAAGUGUGAUCAAGUUCCCAAAUGAGAGCAGUGAGAGAAGAAGAGGGAGAAGGACUAGGGCAAGAAAGAGUUGGUGAGGAGGGGGAAGGAGGAAUUUAAUUUUGCACUGGGAAAGGGGCUCUAGCACACUGAAGGCAAGAAGGCCCCUUUUGACUCUCUCUUGCCAGGGGUUAAUAAGGACAGGAAGAGUAGGAGGAUGACCUGAGGCAUUGCCAUAGGGGACUGAAAGGAUUAUGUGUACAAUAGGGGAGAAAAGGGCUCAAUUUUACUCUUGAGAUUUGGGUUUAGACUGACUUCACUGCAGUUCUCAAUCUUGCAUGUUAAUCCAUUGAGAUGGGAGCCAGAAUAGAGGAGGUGUCUCUAAGGGUUUGGGUGGGCACUCAGAAAGAGAGUAGGGUAGAUGACAAGUUGAAAAGGCUUUUAUACCCCUGAAAUUCUAUUAACAUUUUGGCAGAACAUAAGUAGGGUGGGGUCCUUUUGAGAGAGUGUGGGAAAGCACUGGAUAGUAGAAAGGGUUCCUCUCUGUUCAUUGAAACAAGGCUAAGGACACUACCACCAAGACCAUUGUAUUGCCAAGAAUUGAGUGCCCUCUUCAUGCUGGGCAGACUGUGCCAGGCACUUCACGUUCAUUGAUCCCAUUUAACACUCACACCAAAGCCUGGUGUUUCCAUUUUACAGACGAAGAACCUGAAGCUCAAAGAAAUUAGGAAACUUGUUAAGUUCACAGAGUUCAUGAGAGUUUGAAGAACCUCUCUGAAGAAGGGUUGGUUGGAUACAACCUCAACUGUGUCUCCUGCAAACCUCCAUGAAUAUUGGUUGAAAGUCAGAAUAAGACUUCUCUUCCCCACCAGGUACCUACCCCUCCUCACUCUAAUGAGAGCACUGAAGACCAAUCUUUUUCUCUUUGGAUUUGUUGACCCCAGGCAGAGUGAGGGGUGGGAGGCAGGUGAUAUUCUGCAGGUUGGGAGGGAUUAAGUGAGAUUCCUCAUGGUAAACAAGAGCCCUAGAGCCUUCCCCUUAUUGAGCUGCCAGAAUGGUGAUAGACUGUAUCCUGUAAAGAGGGGAACCUGGAGGAUCCUCCUAUGGAAAAACUGCUAAACCAAGAAAAAAGACCAACAGAUAUAGACUGUUCGGGGUUCCCCAACAUAAAAGUCAGGUCCUGCCCUAUUAUCUACCUGACAGGAAAGCCCACACUGCAACUAAUCUCUUCUACUCAGUCUUAAUUAUGAGCAGUCAAUGACUACUACACAUUGGAGGAAAACACCCAGAUAAGGAAAGCACCAACAAAUAAAUGAAAGGGUGAAUAGAAACAUUUUCAGUAUGAAAGGUCUCAAUAUUUUUAUCACCCUUGCAAUUUUUAUCAGAAACCUACUGGAGGAUGUGCUCCUCCAAAAUAAUAGAUUAAACCAAGAUAGAGGAAAACAUGACAUCUAGGAAACAAGGAAUCCAACACAGGAAAAGGUGAAAAAAAAUUCCCAGGAAGUUAGUAUGUAGCAGAAAAACAAGAAACUAAUUGAUUUGCCCACACUAGAGGGAUUUAUAUUUUUCUUGGACAGCUUAGGAUGAGCUAGUGAAAAUACAUAGAAAAAUAAGCAAGGGAAAAGACAAAGCACCUAUUAAAUACUAGGGAAAAAGAAACUUGUGUAAGAAAGGAAAUAAUACACUACAUGGCUUAGCUGUGAAUAAUAUUUACCUAGAGAAUAACAUAAAUAUCAAAGACUAUGAUAUAAUUUGUUUUUCAAGAAAUGAAGCGAGAGGAUUUGUAAGUGGGGGAGGAGGGGUGUAAAAAAUCUAGGUCCCCAUCUUCCAUCACCGAAAAUACAUAACUAGAGGACAAUGAAUAACUAUAAAAAUGUUAUUUAGCAAUAGGAGCUAAAGUCCAGAAGAAACAGUGAAAAAAACUGACGGAGAUUGCCUCUGGAGAGAAGUCGCGGGUGAAAAGAUAGGGGUAAAACUGCUCUGUAUGCUGAGCCAUAUUGGCAAAUUCUCUGGAGGGAAGUGAAUCUUCUAGUAAAACACAGCCCAAGAAUUUGUGGUGAGCAGAUGAACACUAAAAACAUGAGUUUAGCUGAUGGAAGAGGGUAGAAGAGAGAAGGCAUUCUGUGAAGGAGACAAUGCUUUCCGGAGGAGCUGGGCUGCCAGACCCCAGAGCCAGUAGCCGCCAGCAGCUGCUCACAGACAACUUCAAAGAUGCUUUCCAGUCUGUGGAUCCUAUUUCUGACCUUAUUUGGGAGACCUUGUGAAGAGCUUUUUCAUAUUUGUUUUCCAGUUGCCUCGGAAGCCCACAUCUGUGAAUGUUUUCAUACCAAUCGUGGAAAAUUCAGAUCUGUUCAGAGGCACGUAGUCUUCAGGGCUUACUGUGACGUCAGGGUUUCAUCUGAGUGUUUGGUGGCUCAGCUUGCUGUGUCAUGUUUUAUUUUUGUAAGUCAACAUGUACAGCAGCAUUUAUUUCCAGACUGGCCUGAGGGUAACACUAGAAAAUGCUUCCAAACAGAAGGACAAACCUCUUGCUGGAU